AAGCACUGCCUUUGAAUCUGAUGUGUCUUGUUUGUAGCUUCACGGGCCAAGCAACAGUACUAGAGCAUAACGACUUGUUAUAACUGGGGCUCUUCAGCUCUCAACUGAACUGCUCUUUUAAAAACAAGGUACAUUU
ensembl:snoRNA